rnacentral:rRNA from 1 species
UACGAAGGGGGCUAGCGUUGCUCGGAAUUACUGGGCGUAAAGCGCACGUAGGCGGUCUUUUAAGUCGGGGGUGAAAUCCUGGAGCUCAACUCCAGAACUGCCUUCGAUACUGAAGAGCUCGAGUCCGGGAGAGGUGAGUGGAACUGCGAGUGUAGAGGUGAAAUUCGUAGAUAUUCGCAAGAACACCAGUGGCGAAGGCGGCUCACUGGCCCGAUACUGACGCUGAGGCACGAAAGCGUGGGGAGCAAACAGG